CAACAGGGAUUGCCUUAGUAACUGCGAGUGAAGCGGCAAAAGCUCAAAUUUGAAAUCUGGCGUCUUUGGCGCCCGAGUUGUAAUUUGGAGAGAUGACUUCGGUGCUGCCGGCCGUCCCAAGUUCCUUGGAACAGGACGUCACAGAGGGUGAGAAUCCCGUGUCUGGUCGGCUGGCGUGUGCCAUGUGAAGUCUCUUCGACGAGUCGAGUUGUUUGGGAAUGCAGCUCAAAAUGGGUGGUAAAUUUCAUCUAAAGCUAAAUAUUGGCGAGAGACCGAUAGCGCACAAGUAGAGUGAUCGAAAGAUGAAAAGCACUUUGAAAAGAGAGUCAAAAAGUACGUGAAAUUGUUGAAAGGGAAGCGCUUGAGAUCAGACUCGACCGUUGGUGAUCAGCAGUCCUUCUGGGCUGUGCACUGGCCGACGGUCGGACCAGCAUCGGUUGCUGCGGCGGGAGAAAGGUUGGGGGAAUGUGGCCAACUUCGGUUGGUGUUAUAGCCCCCGGCGCAAUGCCGCCUGCAGCGACCGAGGUCCGCGCAUCUGCUAGGAUGCUGGUGAAAUGGUCUUCAGCGACCCGUCUUGAAACACGGACCAAGGAGUCUAACAUCUAUGCGAGUGUUUGGGUGUAAAACCCUUGCGCGUAAUGAAAGUGAACGUAGGUGGGAACCCGCAAGGGGGCACCAUCGACCGAUCCUGAUGUCUUCGGAUGGAUUUGAGUAAGAGCAUAGCUGUUGGGACCCGAAAGAUGGUGAACUAUGCCUGAAUAGGGUGAAGCCAGAGGAAACUCUGGUGGAGGCUCGCAGCGGUUCUGACGUGCAAAUCGAUCGUCAAAUUUGGGUAUAGGGGCGAAAGACUAAUCGAACCAUCUAGUAGCUGGUUCCUGCCGAAGU
rnacentral:rRNA from 1 species